UCAUCCCUCUGCCUUGUUGCAUGCCCAGGGAGGCGCAUAUCCAGAUGUGGUACUCCAUGAACAAGAAACUGGUAUGUCAAAGGUCUAUGAUCCAUGAGGUCAAUGGGUUGGAGGACCCGUAUUUCCUGGCAACAUGAGUACAGGUCAGGAGACAUAGCAAUGUGUUCUGUCCGAGUUGCAUUUGGAGUAGAUGUGGCAUUGUAGCCGAAGGAAGUGGGCUGGCCAUUGUCUCC
rnacentral:lncRNA from 1 species